ACAUGACUCUCGGCAACGGAUAUCUCGGCUCUCGCAUCGAUGAAGAACGUAGCAAAAUGCGAUACCUGGUGUGAAUUGCAGAAUCCCGCGAACCAUCGAGUUUUUGAACGCAAGUUGCGCCCGAGGCCUUCUGGCCGAGGGCACGUCUGCCUGGGCGUCACGC
rnacentral:rRNA from 2 species